rnacentral:rRNA from 1 species
GUGGAUUAGAUACCCUAGUAGUCCACGCCCUAAACGAUGACGACUAGUUGUUGGGGGAGUUAAAUCCCUUAGUAACGCAGCUAACGCGCGAAGUCGUCCGCCUGGGGAGUACGGUCGCAAGAUUAAAACUCAAAGGAAUUGACGGGGGCCCGCACAAGCGGUGGAUGAUGUGGUUUAAUUCGAUGCAACGCGAAAAACCUUACCUACCCUUGACAUGCUAGGAAUCCUGCAGAGAUGCAGGAGUGCCCGAAAGGGAACCUGGACACAGGUGCUGCAUGGUUGUCGACAGCU